UACGGAGGGUACAAGCGUUAUUCGGAAUCAUUGGGUGUAAAGCGCGUGUAGGCGGUUUGGUAAGUCAGAUGUGAAAGCUCCGGGCUUAACCCGGAAAGUGCGUUUGAAACUGCCAGACUUGAGUGCGGGAGAGGAAGGUGGAAUUCCCAGUGUAGAGGUGAAAUUCGUAGAUAUUGGGAGGAACACCGGUGGCGAAGGCGACCUUCUGGACCGUCACUGACGCUGAGACGCGAAAGCGUGGGGAGCAAACAGGAUUAGAUACCCCCGUA
rnacentral:rRNA from 1 species